UACGUAGGGGGCAAGCGUUGUCCGGAUUUAUUGGGCGUAAAGAGCGUGUAGGCGGUUUGGUAGGUCCGCUGUGAAAACUCGAGGCUCAACCUCGAGACGCCGGUGGAAACCAUCAGACUAGAGUCCGGAAGAGGAGAGUGGAAUUCCUGGUGUAGCGGUGAAAUGCGCAGAUAUCAGGAAGAACACCCGUGGCUAAGGCGGCUCUCUAGUACGGUACUGACGCUGAGACGCGAAAGCGUGGGGAGCGAUCCGG
rnacentral:rRNA from 1 species